CACCAGGCCGGCUUUCCUUUACAUGAGUAUGAUGAAAUAAAGUGAAGUUGUACCCAGGAGUAUUCGUGCUCUGAUUCUUAUUGAACAGCCAAUCCCCAGGAGUUAUGCGCUAUUGAGAAGAAUGCUCCCGCUUCCAUUAUAAGAAGGUUACAAGAGAGACACUGUGUGGACAGAAACGUAACCGUCGCCUUGGGGAAGAGCAUUGAUUUUACAAA